rnacentral:rRNA from 1 species
GACGAACGCUGGCGGCGUGCCUAAUACAUGCAAGUUGAGCGCUGAAGGUUGGUACUUGUACCAACUGGAUGAGCAGCGAACGGGUGAGUAACGCGUGGGGAAUCUGCCUUUGAGCGGGGGACAACAUUUGGAAACGAGUGCUAAUACCGCAUAAAAACUUUAAACACAAGUUUUAAGUUUGAAAGAUGCAAUUGCAUCACUCAAAGAUGAUCCCGCGUUGUAUUAGCUAGUUGGUGAGGUAAAGGCUCACCAAGGCGAUGAUACAUAGCCGACCUGAGAGGGUGAUCGGCCACAUUGGGACUGGGACACGGCCCAAACUCCUACGGGAGGCAGCAGUAGGGAAUCUUCGGCAAUGGACGAAAGUCUGACCGAGCAACGCCGCGUGAGUGAAGAAGGUUUUCGGAUCGUAAAACUCUGUUGGUAGAGAAGAACGUUGGUGAGAGUGGAAAGCUCAUCAAGUGACGGUAACUACCCAGAAAGGGACGGCUAACUACGUG